rnacentral:misc_RNA from 1 species
GCCGUGACGCCGUCGCGCUCGUCAGUUUCCUCCGAUCCGUAACCUCGUCUACUGCUACUCUCGGACGGAUCACGUGUCGUUGCGCUAUUCUUAAAAAAGCUCAGAAUUUUAUGAAAAGUCCGGUCCCGGAUUUAAAAAAAAAACAUGUUGACUUCUGUUCCUGAGAAGAUCUCUUUCUCGGAGGAGGAAGAGCGCAUCCUCGAAUACUGGAAAUCGAUCGACGCUUUCCAAGAGUGCCAGAGACUUUCCAAAGGGCGACCAGAAUAUUCUUUUUACGAUGGGCCCCCAUUUGCCACUGGUCUUCCUCAUUAUGGACAUAUUCUAGCUGGAACAAUAAAGGAUGUUGUGACACGAUACGCUUACCAAAAUGGAUACCAUGUUGAAAGAAGAUUUGGUUGGGAUUGUCAUGGAUUGCCAGUGGAGUUUGAAAUUGAUAAAACUUUUAACUUCAAAUCACCAGAAGACAUCGAAAAAUUUGGUGUCGCUAAUUAUAAUAAGGAGUGCAGGCAAAUUGUAAUGAGAUAUUCCAAGGAAUGGGAAAAGAUCGUCAAUCGUAUUGGCCGUUGGAUUGAUUUCAAAAAUGACUACAAAACCCUCUAUCCUUCAUUUAUGGAAAGUGUAUGGUGGGUGUUUUCGGAAUUGUGGAACAAAGGAAUGGUUUAUAGAGGUGUGAAAGUAAUGCCUUUUUCUACAGCAUGCCACACUCCACUAUCAAAUUUUGAAUCGAGCCAAAAUUACAAGGACGUAAUUGAUCCAGCCAUCGUGCCAAAAUUCCAACUUAAGAAGGAUCCUAAUUGUUUCCUGUUAGCUUGGACAACCACGCCUUGGACUCUGCCCAGUAAUUUAGCAAUAUGCGUACACCCUGAGUUUAUUUAUGUAAAAUUAAGAGAAACAAAAAGCAAUAUGCAUGUUAUACUUUUGAAGGCAAGGAUGCCUGAUUUUUUCAAGCAAGUCGAUAAAAAUACGUUUACAAGGCAAAAUGAAGAAUAUGAAAUAGUUGACACAUUUGUUGGGUCUAAGCUCAAAGGAGAGGAAUAUAUGCCGUUAUUUAAUUACUUUGCCCAUUUGAAACAAUGUUUCCGUGUCUUGACAGACACCUAUGUCACAGAAGAAUCAGGUACUGGUGUCGUUCACAUGGCUCCUUAUUUUGGUGAAGAUGACAACAGAAUUUGCUUGAACAAUAAGCUUAUAACAAGGGACCAAGAUCCAAUAUGCCCUGUGGACAAUAGCGGGAGAUUUGUCCAUCCAGUCAAGGACUUUGAAAACAUGUACAUAAAGGAUGCUGACAAAGAGAUAAUUAAAAACUUAAAAGAGAGGAAUUUGGUGUUUGACUUAUCGACAGUUACUCACAGUUAUCCAUUUUGUUGGAGGUCAGAAACUCCACUUGUUUAUAAGGCAGUUCCUUCCUGGUUUAUUAGAGUUCAUGAUAUGAGCAGUGCAUUGCUAAAAACCAACAAUGAUACAUAUUGGGUUCCAGAAUUUGUUAAGGAAAAGAGAUUUGCUAACUGGCUGAAAGAAGCCCGUGACUGGGCAGUUAGCCGUAAUAGAUAUUGGGGAACUCCUAUUCCAUUGUGGGUUUCUGAUGAUUUUGAAGAAAUUGUCUGUAUCUCAAGCAUAAAGGAACUUGAAGCUGCAACAGGGAAAAAAUUCAUUGAUAUUCAUAGAGAAUAUGUGGAUGAAGUCACAAUUCCGUCUGCAAGACCAGGAAAACCUCCACUUCGAAGGGUGCCAGAAGUGUUUGAUUGUUGGUUUGAAUCUGGAUCUAUGCCAUAUGCUCAAAUCCAUUACCCUUUUGAAAACAAAGCCGAAUUCAAUAAAAAAUUCCCUGCUGAUUUCAUUGCAGAAGGAAUAGAUCAAACCAGAGGAUGGUUUUACACACUGUUAGUAAUAUCUACAGCUCUUUUUAACAAACCUCCUUUCAAAAAUCUUAUCGUAAAUGGACUUGUGCUCGCUUCUGAUGGUCAAAAGAUGUCAAAGAGCAAAAAGAAUUUUCCAAAUCCCGAAGAUGUUGUGAAUAAAUUCGGUGCUGAUGCAAUCAGAUUGUAUCUCAUAAAUUCUCCAGUCGUUAGAGCUGAUAAGCUUAAAUUCAAGGAAGAAGGCGUAAAAGAUGUUUUGAAAGAUGUUUGCUUACCUUGGUAUAAUGCCUACCGAUUUUUCAUACAGAACGUCCAAAGGCUAGAAGUUGAGGAAAAAGUGAAGCUUACUUUCCAAGAGGAUGUAUUUGUCCCUUCUAACCUUAUGGAUAAGUGGAUUUUGUCAUAUGCCCAAUCUUUAAAUGUGUUUGUUAGAAAAGAAAUGGCAGCAUAUAGACUUUACACUGUAGUACCGAGGUUGGUAAAGUUCAUUGAGAAUCUUUGCAACUGGUAUGUAAGAAUGAAUCGGCGAAGGCUAAAGGGUGAUACUGGUUUGGAAGAUUGCAAGAACGCACUCAGCACACUUGGAUCAGUAUUAACUAAUAUGAUAAGGCUUAUGUCUCCUUACACACCAUUCUUAACAGAAUUAAUGUACAAGAAUUUGAGACAUCUUACAGGAAGAAAUGAAAAAAGUGUCCACUUCAUCUUAAUGCCUCAACCAAGGAGUGAUUUAAUUAAUACAGAAAUUGAAAGAGCUGUUUCUAACAUGCAAACAGUUAUAGAUUUGGGCAGAGUUAGCAGAGAUCGUAAAACGAUACCUAUUAAGAAUCCUCUAAGAGAAGUAAUAGUUAUAUUAAAUAACAAAGAUACCUUCAAUGAAAUGGUUCCAUUUACAAAUUACAUAGAGGAAGAAUUAAAUGUUAAGAAAGUUACCUUAUCGGUCGAUAAAGAACAAUAUGGUGUCUCUUUUAAAGCUGAUGCCGAUUUUAAAACGUUAGGCCCUCGUCUAAAAGGCGAUUUUAAGAAAGUAUUAGAAAUUAUCAAGCAUUUAAGUGAUGCUGAAAUCCAAGGCCUGAAAUCAAAAGGUUCUAUAACAAUAGAGGGCCAUACUUUAACUGAAGAUGAUUUAAAAAUAAAGCUGGAUUUCAGUGGAAACAACGCGACUGAAUUGUCUCAACGAUACGAAGUUAAUUUACAAGAUGAUGUUUUAGUCCUCUUAGAUGUUUCAAUGGACAAAGAAUUGCAAGCCGAAGGAACAGCUAGAGAGAUAAUUAACCGAGUACAAAAGCUGAGAAAGCAGGCCCAUUUGGUACCGACCGAUGUUAUAAAAGUGUAUUACAGUGUUAAUCCAGAGAUGUGCACACUAGCUGAAACAGCAAAGAGCUACACAAGCUUCAUUGAAAACGGUCUAAAAGUGCCGUUUAUUGCUGGUACUCCGAACGAGAAAGAAAAUAUUAUAAUCAAAGACACUCAACAGUUGAAAGGUGUUGAGAAAGGAUUUGAACUCACACUGACCAUAACAGGUGAUAUGAUAAAUAACAGAAAUCCAGAUUGUGGAAAUGUUCCUUUCUGCCGGUAUGCUAAUCUUCUAUUAGUCGAAACUGAACCAGGAUUUGGAGUUUCUUCAUCAAACUCAUCUCUAGUGUUAGAAAAUCCUAAAGGACAAAACGUCUUAAACUUAAAGCAAUUGAAAGAACAGGUCAAAAUGCUCUUUGCUUUGGACAAUGACGUUCAUCUUUAUACAGCGCAAGGAGAACUCACGGAGGAAAAGCUUAGUAAAAUAAAUGGUGAAACAAUAGUAGCGGCUACAAAUAAAUUGACAAAACCACAUACAAAUUUGCCAGCAUCUAAGACGCCAAUACUAUCAAAGUAAGUGUUGUUAGGCUAUUUUUAUUUUUUAAGUUUUUGAAUUAUUGAGCUUUUCAGCCAACUUUGCACUUGAAUAAUAUUUAAUAAAAAGUUGAUAAAUGCAUUCCUAAUGUUUAAAUGUCGUUUAAAUUUUGUAAAUAAUUUUCCUUUGUUUUACUCAAUCAUACAAAAUGGGUAAAUAAUUGAUUUAAAAUAACCAAACACAUACCCAGAAAAGCAAAUUACGCAGUUUUCACAGAAUAAAAAAAACUUCCA